CACCUACGGGGGGCAGCAGUGGGGAAUAUUGCACAAUGGGGGAAACCCUGAUGCAGCGACGCCGCGUGAGCGAUGAAGUAUUUCGGUAUGUAAAGCUCUAUCAGCAGGGAAGAAAAUGACGGUACCUGACUAAGAAGCCCCGGCUAACUACGUGCCAGCAGCCGCGGUAAUACGUAGGGGGCAAGCGUUAUCCGGAUUUACUGGGUGUAAAGGGAGCGUAGACGGCAGGGCAAGUCUGGAGUGAAAGCCCGGGGCCCAACCCCGGGACUGCUUUGGAAACUGCCAUG
rnacentral:rRNA from 1 species